rnacentral:lncRNA from 1 species
AAUUAUUGUGCCGUCAUACGAAUAUUAUAUAACCACUUGCUUACUUUACAAAAUUUUCAAAUAUCACCCUUAACUUUAACCUUUUAUCAAUUUAACCAUUUACUAAAUAGAAAAAUAAUUAUAGGAAAAUUGAAUACUUUCAUUUCAUAAAAUUCAGGGUCUUACAACCAGGCCUGCAAUAGCUGCGAAUACUUUCGAAAUCAAGCCUGGGACAAUUCAUGUGAGUCCCCCAAAACAGGUAUACAUCACCCAUCUUGGGUCGCCAGAUACAUGAUACAGAAUACAAAUAUAAACUAAUUAUACAACAGUCGUGUAAAAUACAACAAAACAUAUGUUGUGGGUUUUAAUACAAAUAUUGUCAUCUGGACAAUAUCCACACUCAAUGGAGUCCUCAUUAC